GUACUGCAGUCGAACGCUUCUUUUUCCACCGGAGCUUGCUCCACCGGAAAAAGAGGAGUGGCGAACGGGUGAGUAACACGUGGGUAACCUGCCCAUCAUAAGGGGAUAACACUUGGAAACAGGUGCUAAUACCGUAUAACAAUCGAAACCGCAUGGUUUUGAUUUGAAAGGCGCUUUCGGGUGUCACUGAUGGAUGGACCCGCGGUGCAUUAGCUAGUUGGUGAGGUAACGGCUCACCAAGGCCACGAUGCAUAGCCGACCUGAGAGGGUGAUCGGCCACAUUGGGACUGAGACACGGCCCAAACUCCUACGGGAGGCAGCAGUAGGGAAUCUUCGGCAAUGGACGAAAGUCUGACCGAGCAACGCCGCGUGAGUGAAGAAGGUUUUCGGAUCGUAAAACUCUGUUGUUAGAGAAGAACAAGGAUGAGAGUAACUGUUCAUCCCUUGACGGUAUCUAACCAGAAAGCCACGGCUAACUACGUGCCAGCAGCCGCGGUAAUACGUAGGUGGCAAGCGUUGUCCGGAUUUAUUGGGCGUAAAGCGAGCGCAGGCGGUUUCUUAAGUCUGAUGUGAAAGCCCCCGGCUCAACCGGGGAGGGUCAUUGGAAACUGGGAGACUUGAGUGCAGAAGAGGAGAGUGGAAUUCCAUGUGUAGCGGUGAAAUGCGUAGAUAUAUGGAGGAACACCAGUGGCGAAGGCGGCUCUCUGGUCUGUAACUGACGCUGAGGCUCGAAAGCGUGGGGAGCAAACAGGAUUAGAUACCCUGGUAGUCCACGCCGUAAACGAUGAGUGCUAAGUGUUGGAGGGUUUCCGCCCUUCAGUGCUGCAGCUAACGCAUUAAGCACUCCGCCUGGGGAGUACGACCGCAAGGUUGAACUCAAAGGAAUUGACGGGGGCUCGCACAAGCGGUGGAGCAUGUGGUUUAUUCGAACCACGCUGAUAACCUUACCAGGUCUUGACAUCGUUUGACCCUCUAGAGAUAGACUUCCCCUUCGGGGGCAAGUGACAGGGGUGCAGGAUGUCGUCACUCGCGUCAGAGAUGUAGGGUUAGUCCUGCACGAGCGCACCCUUAUUGUAGUUGCAUCAUCAGUUGGGACUCUACCAGACUGCGGUGACAACCGAAGAAGGGGGGAUGACUCAAUCUCAUGCCCUUAUGACUGGGCUCCAAAUGUUACAUGGGAAUAAACGAGUUUCAAUCCCAAGGUAACAAUCCUUAAAGUUCCCAAUUCUGAUGGAGGGGAACCCCCUGAUGAACCGAAACCUUUAAUCAGA
rnacentral:rRNA from 1 species